rnacentral:rRNA from 1 species
AUUGAACGCUGGCGGCAUGCCUUACACAUGCAAGUCGAACGGCAGCACGGGAGCAAUCCUGGUGGCGAGUGGCGAACGGGUGAGUAAUGUAUCGGAACGUGCCCAGUCGUGGGGGAUAACGUAGCGAAAGCUACGCUAAUACCGCAUACGAUCUAUGGAUGAAAGCGGGGGAUCGCAAGACCUCGCGCGAUUGGAGCGGCCGAUAUCAGAUUAGGUAGUUGGUGGGGUAAAGGCCCACCAAGCCUGCGAUCUGUAGCUGGUCUGAGAGGACGACCAGCCACACUGGAACUGAGACACGGUCCAGACUCCUACGGGAGGCAGCAGUGGGGAAUUUUGGACAAUGGGCGCAAGCCUGAUCCAGCAAUGCCGCGUGCAGGAUGAAGGCCUUCGGGUUGUAAACUGCUUUUGUACGGAACGAAACGGCUUUUUCUAAUACAGAGAGCUAAUGACGGUACCGUAAGAAUAAGCACCGACUAACUACGUGCCAGCAGCCGCGGUAAGAC